GCCGAAGUGGCGGAACUGGAAGACGCGCUGGGUUCAGGGUCCAGUGUCCUUACGGAUGUAGGGGUUCGAAUCCCCUCUUCGGCA
rnacentral:tRNA from 1 species